AUUGAACGCUGGCGGCAUGCCUUACACAUGCAAGUCGAACGGCAGCGGACCUUCGGGUGCCGGCGAGUGGCGAACGGGUGAGUAAUAUAUCGGAACGUACCUUUCAGUGGGGGAUAACGUAGCGAAAGUUACGCUAAUACCGCAUAUUCUGUGAGCAGGAAAGCAGGGGAUCGCAAGACCUUGCGCUGAUUGAGCGGCCGAUAUCAGAUUAGCUAGUUGGUGAGGUAAAGGCUCACCAAGGCGACGAUCUGUAGCGGGUCUGAGAGGAUGAUCCGCCACACUGGAACUGAGACACGGUCCAGACUCCUACGGGAGGCAGCAGUGGGGAAUUUUGGACAAUGGGCACAAGCCUGAUCCAGCCAUGCCGCGUGAGUGAAGAAGGCCUCGGUUGUAAGAC
rnacentral:rRNA from 1 species